rnacentral:rRNA from 1 species
GUGGGGAAUAUUGGACAAUGGGCGAAAGCCUGAUCCAGCCAUGCCGCGUGUGUGAAGAAGGUCUUCGGAUUGUAAAGCACUUUAAGUUGGGAGGAAGGGCAGUAAGUUAAUACCUUGCUGUUUUGACGUUACCGACAGAAUAAGCACCGGCUAACUUCGUGCCAGCAGCCGCGGUAAUACGAAGGGUGCAAGCGUUAAUCGGAAUUACUGGGCGUAAAGCGCGCGUAGGUGGUUUUGUAAGUUGGGGGUGAAAUCCCCGGGCUCAACCUGGGAACUGCCUCCAAAACUGCAUGACUAGAGUACGGUAGAGGGUAGUGCAAUUUCCUGUGUAGCGGUGAAAUGCGUAGAUAUAGGAAGGAACACCAGUGGCGAAGGCGACUACCUGGACUGAUACUGACACUGAGGUGCGAAAGCGUGGGGAGCAAACAGGAUUAGAAACCCGGGUAGUCC